rnacentral:rRNA from 1 species
UACAGAGGGGGCAAGCGUUGUUCGGAAUUACUGGGCGUAAAGGGCGCGCAGGCGGCUGCCUCAAGUCAGGCGUGAAAGGCCUGGGCUCAACCCGGGAAUUGCGCUUGAGACUGGGCUGGCUUGAGUGCGGGAGAGGAUGGUGGAAUUCCCAGUGUAGAGGUGAAAUUCGUAGAUAUUGGGAAGAACACCGGUGGCGAAGGCGGCAUCCUGGACCGGCAUUGACGCUGAGGCGCGAAAGCCAGGGGGAGCAAAGCGGGG